rnacentral:lncRNA from 1 species
CACAGAUUCAAAGAGAAGUGCAUUGAAGAUGCUGCUCUCCUGUUCCCUCCUUGGAUUGACCUACCCCGUGACUGAAUUUUGCAAUGAAUCCUUAUCAGGUUGUUAUACACCAUUGCA